rnacentral:rRNA from 1 species
UACGGAGGGUGCAAGCGUUAAUCGGAAUUACUGGGCGUAAAGCGUGCGUAGGCGGUUCGUUAAGUCUGCUGUGAAAGCCCCGGGCUCAACCUGGGAAUGGCGGUGGAUACUGGAUAGCUAGAGUGUGUCAGAGGAUGGUGGAAUUCCCGGUGUAGCGGUGAAAUGCGUAGAGAUCGGGAGGAACAUCAGUGGCGAAGGCGGCCAUCUGGGACAACACUGACGCUGAAGCACGAAAGCGUGGGGAGCAAACA